rnacentral:rRNA from 1 species
UCCAGCCAUACCGCGUGGGUGAAGAAGGCCUAUCGGGUUGUAAAGCCCUUUUGUUGGGAAAGAAAUCCAGCCGGCUAAUACCUGGUUGGGAUGACGGUACCCAUAGAAUAAGCCCCGGCUAAUUUCGUGCCAGCACCCACGGUAAUACGAAGGGUGCGAGCGUUACUCGGAAUUACUGGGCGUGAAGCGUGCGUAGGUGGUUGUUUAAGUCUGUUGGGAAAGCCCUGGGCUCAACCUGGGAACUGCAGUGGAGACUGGAAGACUGGAGUGUGUGAUAGGGUAGCGGAAUUCCUGGAGUAGCAGAGAAAUGCCUAUAGAUAAGGAGGAACAUCCGUGGCGAACGCAGCUACCUGGACCAACACUGACACUGAGGCACGAAUGCGUGGGGAGGAAACACGAUUACAUACCCUGGUAGUCCACGCCCUAAACGAUGCGAACUGGAUGUUGGGUGCAAUUUGGCACGCAAUAUCCAAGCUCAGGCGUUAAGUUCGCCGCCUGGGGAGUACGGUCACAAGACUGAAACUCCGAGGAAUUGACGGAGGCCCGCACAAGCGGUGGAGUAUGUGGUUUAAUUCGAUGCGACGCGGACAUGCUUACCUGGCCUUGACAUGUCUAGAA